UACGUAGGGGGCAAGCGUUGUUCGGAAUUACUGGGCGUAAAGGGCGCGUAGGCGGCACAGCAAGUCGGGAGUGAAAGCCCGGGGCUCAACCCCGGAAUGUCUCUCGAAACUGCUGAGCUCGAGUGCGGAAGAGGCAACUGGAAUUCCCAGUGUAGCGGUGAAAUGCGUAGAUAUUGGGAAGAACACCUGAGGCGAAGGCGGGUUGCUGGGCCGACACUGACGCUGAGGCGCGAAAGCCAGGGGAGCGAACGGG
rnacentral:rRNA from 1 species